CAGCAGCCGCGGUAAUACGUAGGGUGCAAGCGUUAUCCGGAAUUAUUGGGCGUAAAGAGCUCGUAGGCGGUUUGUCGCGUCUGCUGUGAAAACUGGAGGCUCAACCUCCAGCCUGCAGUGGGUACGGGCAGACUAGAGUGCGGUAGGGGAGAUUGGAAUUCCUGGUGUAGCGGUGGAAUGCGCAGAUAUCAGGAGGAACACCGAUGGCGAAGGCAGAUCUCUGGGCCGUAACUGACGCUGAGGAGCGAAAGCGUGGGGAGCGAACAGGAUUAGAUACCCGUGUAGUCCCUGUCUCUUAUAC
rnacentral:rRNA from 1 species